rnacentral:lncRNA from 1 species
GUAGGAUAUCCCAUUCUUUAGAAAGGUACUUCAUAUUCCUGCAAAGAAUUUAAAGAAAGUAUUUCUUAAGGAAGAUUGAGAACAUAGAGAUAAUCCCAAAACCUACAACGAGGCGAUGUGGUGCAUCAAUCCUGAGAAAUGGAUAUAUAGAUAGCCCUACUAAAUGGCUAUCUUUGAAAGGUAUCUAUUUAUAGUGGCCUAUGGAUUUCACUUCCAGUGAUAGAGAUCACACUAUGAAAAUCUAUUUU